rnacentral:lncRNA from 10 species
CCCUUGUUUAUCCUCAAGGGAAAGGUGGCAGAUGACAUAGCCUCAACAAGGCACAGCAGGUACAGAAAGUGGGUAUUUACUUACACAUCAAAACUUUUCAACAACAUCGUUUGUGGGUGACAUCAGCUGCUUUCUUGUCUCUAAGCAGCAUGGCUGCAGUUGGGACAUCCUCCUCCCUCAGUGAGAAUAGUGGUCCUGGCCACGGCGGGAAGCAGACAUUCUAAGGACCUGGGGCACAGACAUUCCAGAAGGUAGGCACCAUUUCAGUGCCCAGGCCUUCUCUGUAGUUGCUGGGAGGGGUACGGCUGCUGCCCUCCUGCACGGGAGCCAUGUGCCUCAGGGGCGUCUCAAGAAUCCUGGGGAAGGAAGUGAAGUCUGAGGACAGGAGUGUCUGCAUCCCCUUCUCAGCCCUCCAGCAGCCUCUGAGGACCCCUUCAGGUCCUGCUCUUACUCUACAACCCACCUCGCCCCCAGCAGAAGAUGCCAGAUUAGAGACCCCAUGUGAUUAUCCUCCAGAGCUUCUCUCUGGCCUUAGGAAGCCAACCUCUGCCCGUGGCCAAAAAACCAAGGCUCCGACUGGACUUGUCUUCUGAUUUCUGGCUGUUCUAACUUCAAACUCAUGAACAGGAGCCAUAGUUGGACCUCUAAUGCCUCCCAACGAUCACUCUCUAGGUCCUAAUCUGUUACCCUUGACAAUGACUUCUUUUCUCUCAAACCUCUAGCACCUCCUCCUCGUCCUCACUUAGCUGUUCCUCCCAUUUUACUGAGCAAAUAGCACCCCAAAAAGAGCUUCCAGCAGCUCCCACCACCGCAUUUACCCAUCCCUGCCUCCGUCUACAUCCCUGUACCCUGGAUCUACUGUGCUCCUAACUGUGGCCUCCCUCCUAGUUGUCAUGACUUUCUCCGGGGUGCUUAGCACCGUCUACCACACCACAUGUUGUAUUAUUUGCUUAUUGUCUGUCUUCCCAUUAGAAUGGAAGCUCCAUGAGGGCAGAGGUUUUAUUCAUUUGUUUACUGCUAUGUUCCUGCACUGAGAACAAUGCCUGGGAUGCAGGA